AUUGAACGCUGGCGGCAGGCCUAACACAUGCAAGUCGAACGAGUGGCGGACGGGUGAGUAAUGUAUGGGAAACUGCCCGAUGGAGGGGGGUACCUACUGGAAACGGUAGCUAAUACCGCAUACCAUCGGAUGUACCCAGAUGGGAUUAGCUAGUAGGUAGGGUAACGGCUUACCUAGGCGACGAUCCCUAGCUGGUCUGAUAGGAUGAUCAGCAACACUGGAACUGAGACACGGUCCCGACGCCUACGGGAGGCAGCAGUGGGGAAUAUUGCACAAUGGGCGAAAGCCUGAUGCAGCCAUGCCGCGUGUAUGAAGAAGGCCUUCGGGUUGUAAAGUACUUUCAGCGGGGAGGCGUUACUCGCAGAAGAAGCACCGGCUAACGCCGUGCCAGCUGCCGCGGUAAUUC
rnacentral:rRNA from 1 species